rnacentral:rRNA from 1 species
UGGGGAAUAUUGCACAAUGGGCGCAAGCCUGAUGCAGCCAUGCCGCGUGUGUGAAGAAGGCCUUCGGGUUGUAAAGCACCUUCAGCGAGGAGGAAGGGUAGUGUGUUAAUAGCACAUUGCAUUGACGUUACUCGCAGAAGAAGCACCGGCUAACUCCGUGCCAGCAGCCGCGGUAAUACGGAGGGGGCAAGCGUUAAUCGGAAUUACUGGGCGUAAAGCGCACGCAGGCGGUUUGUUAAGUCAGAUGUGAAAUCCCCGCGCUUAACGUGGGAACUGCAUUUGAAACUGGCAAGCUAGAGUCUUGUAGAGGGGGGUAGAAUUCCAGGUGUAGCGGUGAAAUGCGUAGAGAUCUGGAGGAAUACCGGUGGCGAAGGCGGCCCCCUGGACAAAGACUGACGCUCAGGUGCGAAAGCGUGGGGAGCAAACA